CCUACGGGAGGCAGCAGUAGGGAAUAUUGCUCAAUGGGGGAAACACUGAAGCAGCAACGCCGCGUGGAGGAUGACGGUUUUCGGAUUGUAAACUCCUUUUGUUAGAGAAGAUAAUGACGGUAUCUAACGAAUAAGCACCGGCUAACUCCGUGCCAGCAGCCGCGGUAUUACGGAGGGUGCGAGCGUUACUCGGAAUCAAGGGGCGUAAAGUGCGCGUAGGCGGGAUAGCAAGUCAGAUGUGAAAGCCUAUGGCUUAACCAUAGAACUGCAGUUGAAACUGGUAUUCUAGAGUAUGGGAGAGGUAGGUGGAAUUCUUGGUGUAGCGGUAAAAUGCGUAGAGAUCAAGAGGAAUACCGAUUGCGAAGGCGACUUUCUGG
rnacentral:rRNA from 1 species